rnacentral:rRNA from 1 species
UGGGGAAUUUUGCACAAUGGGGGAAACCCUGAUGCAGCGACGCCGCGUGAUUUAGAAGGCCUUCGGGUUGUAAAAAUCUUUUCUAUGGGAAGAAAAUGACAGUACCAUAGGAAUAAGGACCGGCUAAUUACGUGCCAGCAGCCGCGGUAAUACGUAAGGUCCGAGCGUUGUCCGGAAUCAUUGGGCGUAAAGGGUACGUAGGCGGGUAAGCAAGUUAGAAGUGAAAUCCUAUAGCUCAACUAUAGUAAGCUUUUAAAACUGCUCAUCUUGAGGUAUGGAAGGGAAAGUGGAAUUCCUAGUGUAGCGGUGAAAUGCGCAGAGAUUAGGAGGGAUACCGGUGGCGAAGGCGACUUUCUGGCCAUAACCUGACGCUGAGCUACGAAAGCGUGGGUAGCAAACAGG